rnacentral:rRNA from 1 species
CUACGGGGUGCACCAGUGGGGAAUAUUGCACAAUGGGGGGAACCCUGAUGCAGCAACGCCGCGUGGAGGAUGACGCAUUUCGGUGUGUAAACUCCUUUUAUAUGUCAAGAAAAUGACGGUAGCAUAUGAAUAAGCACCGGCUAACUCCGUGCCAGCAGCCGCGGUAAUACGGAGGGUGCAAGCGUUACUCGGAAUCACUGGGCGUAAAGGACGCGUAGGCGGGUUGGAAAGUCAGGUGUGAAAUCCUACAGCUUAACUAUAGAACUGCACUUGAAACUUCUAAUCUAGAGUAUGGGAGGGGGAGAUGGAAUUAGUGGUGUAGGGGUAAAAUCCGUAGAUAUCACUAGGAAUACCUAAAGCGAAGGCGAUCUCCUGGAACAUUACUGACGCUAAGGCGUGAAAGCGUGGGGAGCAAACAGGAUUAGAUACCCCCGUAGUC